CCUACGGGGGGCAGCAGUGGGGAAUAUUGGACAAUGGGGGGAACCCUGAUCCAGCCAUGCCGCGUGUGUGAAGAAGGCCCUCGGGUUGUAAAGCACUUUCAGUGAGGAAGAACGCCUGGUGGUUAAUACCCAUCAGGAAAGACAUCACUCACAGCAGAAGCACCGGCUAACUCCGUGCCAGCAGCCGCGGUAAUACGGAGGGUGCGAGCGUUAAUCGGAAUUACUGGGCGUAAAGCGCGCGUAGGUGGCUUGAUAAGCCGGUUGUGAAAGCCCCGGGCUCAACCUGGGAACGGCAUCCGGAACUGUCAAGCUAGAGUGCAGGAGAGGAAGGUAGAAUUCCCGGUGUAGCGGUGAAAUGCGUAGAGAUCGGGAGGAAUACCAGUGGCGAAGGCGGCCUUCUGGACUGAAACUGACACUGAGGUGCGAAAGCGUGGGUAGCAAACAGGAUUAGAUACCCUAGUAGUC
rnacentral:rRNA from 1 species